rnacentral:rRNA from 1 species
UACGUAGGGGCCUAGCGUUGUCCGGAAUUAUUGGGCGUAAAGAGCUCGUAGACGGUUCGGCAAGUCGGAUGUGAAAUCUCCACGCUUAACGUGGAGGGGCCAUUCGAAACUGCUGUGACUCGAGUCCGGUAGGGGAGUGUGGAAUUCCCGGUGUAGCGGUGAAAUGCGCAGAUAUCGGGAGGAACACCAGUAGCGAAGGCGGCACUCUGGGCCGGUACUGGACGCUGAGGAGCGAAAGCGUGGGGAGCGAACAGG